GUGAGGAGUCAUGAGUUUGGACCAACCUAUGUGGUGAGCCCUGAAGGUGAACACCAAGCAACCAUAGUGUGGCUCCAUGGCAUUGCAAGCGAUGGGUAUAGCUGGUGUACUCUCUUUGAAACCAUUGCCCUUCCAAAUAUAAAGUGGAUCUGCCCAACUGCUCCUAAAAGACCAGUAACUGUGAUUGGAGGCUCUACAACAACAGCUUGUAAGUUAGA